AUAUUUACCUAGCAGAAAAAAAAUCGUGUUCGCGAAGGUGGUUUUUCUCAGAGCUGAAGCUAAUUCGUGCAACUUCCCCAAAUGUGGGAACCUCGACUGCAUAAUUUGUGGUAGUGGGGGACUGCAUUCGCGCUUUUUCCCU
rnacentral:snRNA from 1 species